GGGGAAUAUUGCGCAAUGGCCGAAAGGCUGACGCAGCGACGCCGCGUGGGGGAUGAAGCAUUUCGGUGUGUAAACCCCUGUUGCCCGGGACGAACAAGCAGAUUUUUCUGCUCUGACGGUACCGGGUGAGGAAGCACCGGCUAACUCCGUGCCAGCAGCCGCGGUAAUACGGAGGGUGCGAGCGUUGUCCGGAAUCACUGGGCGUAAAGGGCGCGUAGGCGGUCUGCUAAGCGUGCGGUGAAAGCCCGGGGCUCAACCCCGGGUCUGCCGUGCGAACUGGUGGACUAGAGCACUGUAGAGGCAGGUGGAAUUCCGGGUGUAGCGGUGGAAUGCGUAGAGAUCCGGAAGAACACCGGUGGCGAAGGUGGCCUGCUGGGCAGUAGCUGACGCUGAGGCGCGACAGCGUGGGGAGCAAACA
rnacentral:rRNA from 1 species